CAUUGCUUUGCUUUUUUAAAUGGUUUUAUUAUAUUAAAGAUACUAGUAACUGACAAUACAUUUUUAGGAUUUUUUAAUGUUUUUCAACUGAACAAUUUAUACUGUAUAUAUGUUUCUGUAACUUUUAAACAACAAGCCAUUAUGUUUUUAAGAUUCAUCCAUGAGUUACUUUUUAUUGAUAUGUUAAUACUGCUAUGAAUAUUUCUGUACAUCUCUCCUGGUACACAUGUCAAGAGUUUACCCAGAAGUGAAAUUACUGAGUAAUAGACUCUGUGCAUCUUCAUUUUUUUAAAGUCACAUUUCUUAGUAAAGACAGUAGUCCUAAUACAUGUGUCCACUUUUAUUUCCUUUUAAAAUCACACUAAAGUUUUUAAGAAGGCAAAAAUCCACAGCGAUGGGGAAAAGAGAAGACAAGACAGUAUCAAUAAAAUUUUUAAAUCAGUAAAGUAGAUGGAUGAAUGGUAAAUUACUUGGUAGAACUGAGAAAGCCAAACCUAAGAUAGGGUGAGGGGUCAGACCAACUUAAUGUAUGCUGCAGAAUCUUCAAAAGACUCCAUAAUAGGUAUCUCUGGAAGAUGGGAUAAAAAGAGCUAGCUGAAAGAUGGUGAAUUGAUUGAAAGUGUUUUAAAAAGCAGUGAAAUUCUCAAAUCACCUUCUCUAUACUAACCCAUGAGUAAUUAUCCCUCACACCCAGCAGAAUUAUUCUCCAGAGAAGCUAAAACAGAACUUGACUGAGGAAAAGUAGAUACAGUUGAGGACACAGAUACUGUAAAGAAAUAGGAAGAUUAAUUGAAUGUGUGCCUUUUAAAUACUGAGAGAUCCACCUUAUUCACUUUUUAGAACACUGGAAGCCAGGCCUUUGCUUUCUAUACAAGAUUUUGGAAGAGUCUUCUCUGGGGGAUCUGACCAGUCCGUAGAAAGAUGUAAAGAAAAUGACAUUGCACCUUCCCCAAUAUAUGGCCCACCUAGGUCACGCUACAGGGAAGUUCACAGUUGACAAGCUCACCAGGACUUUAGUCAUAGACCUUUAAAAAUGAACAUUUAAUCAAGGAGACAUUUGAGAAAGGAAAUCUCUAAUAUGAAAGAAAGAGCAAAAUAAAUGGAUGAAAUUAUUAUAUAUAUAUGUGGGACGGAUAAAACCUCAAAAAUAAAAAUAGAACUGUAUCUAUCAUUAAUAUUUUCAGAGAUGUAAGAGAAUAUAUGUUUUUCUGGAACAAAAACGAUGUCGUGAAAAUUAAACAGAACCAGAAACAGCUCUUAGAAAUUAAAAAUAUGAUGGAAGAAAUGAAAUACUUAAUAAAAGAGUUGGAUGAUAAAAGAACACCCCAGAAAACAUUAAAAAUACAAAGAAAAGAUAAGGAAAUUAGAGGAGUAGUCCAGGAGUUAUGACAUUUGAGAAACAGAAGUUCAGAAUGUGAAAAUGGAAAACAGAAGACAGGAAAUCAAUCAUAAGGCAGAUUUGCCUUGCCUUAGGGGCUUUCCCUGAGAAGCCCAGGACUCUGGCUCACACUGUGGUGGCUGUACUUACCCACUUCCUUCUGAAAUUUGGCAAAGAAAUACUAAAAGAUGCUCCAGUGGAUGAGUCUGGGUACCAAACAUAUUUCUUUCUGCUCCCACGGUAUGGAGGAAGAGGCUACGAUGUAAGCAAUGCAUGCAGUCUCUAAAAGCUCAAAAGGGCAGAGAAACGGCCUUUAGAAGGAAUGCAGCGGCGCUAACACAUUUUAGACUUCGGAUCUCCUGAACUUCUUUAGGCCGUAAGCACUGCAUUCCUGGGAUCUCAUUCAAUGUUGUCUCGCUCCUGCCUUCUAUACAGCCACUAGCACUUACCUGGAGUUAACUGUGGUCCAGAAGCAGGUGAUCCUCCGUCUGAUACAUGGUCAGAAGGUCCUAACACUACAUCACAACACCUGUAUCCUUCACCUCACUACCUCUCACGUUAUCAUCUCCCAUCAUCAGAAGGAGGAGAAGCUGCCCAAGACUGGAGGAACAUAACAUGGGAAGAAAAUGAGUGCAGUAAGAGAAGCUUAAGGGAAAACAAAAAUAAAACAAGGGAAAUAAAGGACUCCAGGACCUCUUAUUGUCUUCUCUUUUGGAACCAGAAGCCACCCUGUAUGGGGCACCUGAAUCUUGCCACUGACCUUCCUGUACCAGGCUCAAUCUCUCUCUCCGACCCUCUCAUCAUUUAAGGUAAAUGGAUGGAUGCACCGUAGCUGUUGUGGCUAUGUUGUGUUUUUCAUGCUCGAUUCCACAUUCGUGUCACUGUCAGGCUUCUUGACACAUGAGAGAAAGGAAUCUUCCACAACUCCUGGCUAAACAGAGGACCACUCUCUGCAUGAGUGUAGAGGACGAUUAGACUGGGGAUGUGGCAGCCUCUUUCCUUACUGUAGUAAUGCUCUAAAUGAAAAUUUGAGUUUCCUGAAUUCACCAUGUUUUUUUUUUUUUUUUUUUUUUUUUUUUUGGUGGGGGGAGGAGGUCUAUACUUUUGCCAUUUGUUUUUAAGGUUGAUUAAUACUCUUUCUCACUUCCAGGCCUCUUUAACUGUUUUUCCUCCGCUUAGAAUGCAUCCCCCCAAGUUUUCAUAUAGCUAGUUCUUUUCUUAUCCUUCCCACCUGCACCAGGGAAACAUUCACUGGUACAUCCCUUUGGGAGAUACUAUAGCCAGACUCCAUCAGCAUCUAUUUCAACCUUCUACUGGUGAGCCUUCAUUUUUUUGAAGAGUUUAGAAAACUCAAAAAUAUACUUCUCUGCUCCCUUUGUGGCCAGGGUUCUAGCUUAGUUUUGGUUUCUUCAGUGAACUACAGGCAUACUUUGUUUUACUGCAUUUUGCAGACAUUGUGCGCCCCUGUUUGUCUGUUUUUUUAAACAGUUGAAGAUUAAUGGCAACCCUGCAUCGAGAAAUCUGUCAGCACCAUUUUUUCCUACAGCAUCUGCUCUCUUCAUGUCUCUGUGUCACAUUUUGGUAAUUUUCACAAUAUUUCAAACUUUCCCAUUAUUAUUCUAUGUGUUAUAAUGAUCUGUGAUACGUGAUCUUUGAUAUUACUACUGUAAUUGCUUUGGGGCACCACAAACUGUGCUCACAUAAGAUGGUAAACUUAGUCCAUAAAUGUGGUAUGUGUUCUGACUGCUUCAUCAGCCCGCUGUUCCACCAUCUCUCUCUCUCUCCCUCUCCUCAGGCCUCCCUAUUCCCCGAGACACAACAAUAUUGAAAUGAGGUCAAUUAAUAACCCUGCAGUGCCCUCUAAGUGUUCAAGUGAAAGGAUGAGCUGCACAUCUCUCACUUGAAUCGAAAGGUAGAAAUGAUUAAGCUUAGUGUGCAAGGUAUGUCAAAAGCCACGGUAGGCCAAAAGCUAGGCUUCAUGCUCUAGUUAGUCAAGUUGAGAAUGAAAAGGAAAAGUUCUUGAAGGAAAGUAAAAGUGCUACUCCUGCGAAGGCACAAAUGAUAAGAAAGUGAAAUAGCCUUCUUGUUGAUAUGGAGAAAGCGUUAGCGGUCUGGAUGGAAGAUCAAACCAGCCACAACAUUACCUUAAAUCAAAGCCUAACCCCAGAGCAAGACCUUAACUCUCUUCAGAUCUUCUUCAGUGAAGAAGCUGCAGAAGAAAAGUCUGAAGCUGGCAGAGGUUGGCUCAUGAGGUUUAAAGAAAGAAAAUUCUUCAUAACAUCAAGUGCAAGGUGAAGCAGCAAGUGCUGAUGUGGAAGCUGCAGGAAGUUCUCCAGAAGAUCUAGUGAAGAUAAUUAAUGAAGGUGGCUACACUAAACAACAGGUUUCCAAUAGAGAGGAAGCACCUUCUAUUGGAAGAAGAUGCCAUGUAGGACUUUCACAGCUAGAGACCAGUUAUUUGCAAAUAUCUUCUUCCAUUCAGUAGGCUGCCUUUUUGUUUUGGUUUUGUUAUGUAAAACCGUUCUUGUUUGAUAUAGUCCCACUUGUU